rnacentral:tRNA from 1 species
UGGGGUAUCGCCAAGCGGUAAGGCACAGGAUUUUGAUUCCUGCAUUCAUCGGUUCGAAUCCGAUUAUCCCAG